UACCGCGGUUAGACGAGAGACCUGAGUUAAUGUUCCACGGUAUAGAGUGUGGUUAAAGAGAACACAACUAGAGUCGAAAAUUUUUUAAAUUGUUAUAAGUAAAUGAAAACAUGAAGCACUAACACGAAAGUAACUCUAAACUACCUGAAACCACGACAGUUUUAACA
rnacentral:rRNA from 1 species